UUUCAACGGCCGCGGUACUCUGACCGUGCAAAGGUAGCAUAAUCAUUUGCCUUAUAAUUGAAGGCUAGUAUGAAUGGUUUGACGAAAGCAAAUCUGUCUCCUUUUUACUACUUAGAACUUAACCUUUAGGUGAAGAGGCCUAAAUAUUAUUGAAGGACAAGAAGACCCUGUCGAGCUUAAAAGAAUAUGUAGAAGUCAAUAUAUCUUAAAAUAAAUAAUCUACUAAGCUUUUUAGUUGGGGCGACUAAGGAACAAGAAAAGCUUCUUAAUUAAAGAAAACCAACAAGUUUAGAUCCAGCCAGUCUGAUCAAAGAAAUUAGUUACCGCAGGGAUAACAGCAUAAUCUCUCUUGAGAGACCUAAUCGAAAGAGGGGGUUGUGACCUCGAUGUUGGACUAGAAUAUCCUAAAGAUGCAGAAGUCUUUAAGGGUUGGUCUGUUCGACCAUAAAAAUUCUACGUGAUCU
rnacentral:rRNA from 1 species